GACGAACGCUGGCGGCGUGCUUAACACAUGCAAGUCGAACGGAAAGGCCCUGCUUUUGUGGGGUGCUCGAGUGGCGAACGGGUGAGUAACACGUGAGUAACCUGCCCUUGACUUUGGGAUAACUUCAGGAAACUGGGGCUAAUACCGGAUAGGAGCUCCUGCUGCAUGGUGGGGGUUGGAAAGUUUCGGCGGUUGGGGAUGGACUCGCGGCUUAUCAGCUUGUUGGUGGGGUAGUGGCUUACCAAGGCUUUGACGGGUAGCCGGGCUGAGAGGGUGACCGGCCACAUUGGGACUGAGAUACGGCCCAGACUCCUACGGGAGGCAGCAGUGGGGAAUAGUGCACAAUGGGCGGAAGCCUGAUGCAGCAACGCCGCGUGCGGGAUGACGGCCUUCGGGUUGUAAACCGCUUUCGCCUGUGACGAAGCGUGAGUGACGGUAAUGGGUAAAGAAGCACCGGCUAACUACGUG
rnacentral:rRNA from 1 species